rnacentral:rRNA from 1 species
CCCGCACAAGCGGUGGAGCAUGUGGUUUAAUUCGAUGAUACGCGAGGAACCUUACCUGGGCUCAAAUGUAUGUUGACGUAUUCUGAAAGGGAUACUUCUUCGGACAAUAUACAAGGUGCUGCAUGGUUGUCGUCAGCUCGUGCCGUGAGGUGUCGGGUUAAGUCCCAUAACGAGCGCAACCCCUAUCAUUAGUUGCCAUCAGGUCAAGCUGGGGACUCUAAUGAAACUGCCUACGCAAGUAGUGAGGAAGUGGGGAUGACGUCAAAUCAGCACGGCCCUUACGUCCAGGGCUACACACGUGCUACAAUGGCCGGUACAAAGGGCAGCUACCUGGUGACAGGAUGCUAAUCUCAAAAGCCGGUCUCAGUUCGGAUCGGAGUCUGCAACCCGACUCCGUGAAGCUGGAAUCGCCAGUAAUCGCGCAUCAGCCAUGGCGCGGUGAAUACGUUCCCGGGCCUU